rnacentral:lncRNA from 1 species
GGCAAGUCACUCUUAGGGGUUGCAUUAAAACUAACAUAAAGGAAUAAGCAUGAUUGAGCCAAAAACCUUUCUCUUGACCAUGGUAGGUGAAAGGAAACAAGGAAAGGAGAGGAUGACCUUAGUGCAUGUACUCUAUAUUGUGAUAAUUCAAAUUAGGAGUCUAGGGGGGGUUGAUUAAGUGGUACUUAGGCUCUAAGGAAAAAGGGGGCUUGAUUGGCUAAGUUAUUUGUUGCUUGAGGACAAGCAAAAAGCUAGGUGUGGGGGUAUUUGAUCAAGAAUAAUUUAGCCACAUUUUUAUCAUAAUUAUUAUUGCUUAUUUACACAUUUUUCAGUUUAAUUUAUGGUUUUUAUCUUGUUUUUACAGAAAAGGAAGAAACUGGAAAAUGGAAGAAAAAGUGCAGAAAAUUCACAAAAGGAUGAUUUGCCCAGUGAUUUGCCCAAGAAUCUGCUCCAAUCACUGNNNNN